GACGAACGCUGGCGGCGUGCUUAACACAUGCAAGUCGAACGGAAAGGCCCUGCUUUUGUGGGGUGCUCGAGUGGCGAACGGGUGAGUAACACGUGAGUAACCUGCCCUUGACUUUGGGAUAACUUCAGGAAACUGGGGCUAAUACCGGCUAGGUGCUCCUGCUGCAUGGUGGGGGUCGGACAGUUUCGGCGGUUGGGGAUGGACUCGCGGCUUAUCAGCUUGUUGGUGGGGUAGUGGCUUACCAAGGCUUUGACGGGUAGCCGGCCUGAGAGGGUGACCGGCCACAUUGGGACUACGAGACGGCCCAGACGCCUACGGGAGGCAGCAGUGGGGAAUAUUGCACAAUGGGCGGAAGCCUGAUGCAGCAACGCCGCGUGCGGGAUGACGGCCUUCUGGUGGGAAACCGCUUUCGCCUGUGACGAAGCGGGAGUGACGGUAAUGGGUAAAGAAGCACCGGCUAACUACGUG
rnacentral:rRNA from 1 species